rnacentral:rRNA from 1 species
UACAGAGGGUGCGAGCGUUAAUCGGAAUUACUGGGCGUAAAGCGUGCGUAGGCGGAUACUUAAGUCGAAUGUGAAAUCCCCGGGCUUAACCUGGGAACUGCAUCUGAUACUGGGUAUCUGGAGUAUGGUAGAGGAAAGUGGAAUUCCCGGUGUAGCGGUGAAAUGCGUAGAUAUCGGGAGGAACAUCAGUGGCGAAGGCGACUUUCUGGACCAAUACUGACGCUGAGGUACGAAAGCGUGGGGAGCAAACAGG